GAUCCUGGCUCAGGAUGAACGCUAGCUACAGGCUUAACACAUGCAAGUCGAGGGGCAGCAUUUCAGUUUGCUUGCAAACUGGAGAUGGCGACCGGCGCACGGGUGAGUAACACGUAUCCAACCUGCCGAUAACUCGGGGAUAGCCUUUCGAAAGAAAGAUUAAUACCGGAUAGUAUCGAGAGAUUGCAUGAUUACCCGAUUAAAGAUUCAUCGGUAACGGAUGGGGAUGCGUUCCA
rnacentral:rRNA from 1 species